GUUGAUGAUGAUAACCCUGAAUAGGAAGUGCCGUCAGAUGCGAGAACUGACGAUAAUCUUCUUACUUGUCUGAAA
ensembl:snoRNA